GACAUUUGUAUUUGUCAAAAAGAAAAGAUAAAAAAGGUUUUGACAUUUAUCCUUGUUCAAAACAGUGUUGUUUCUUAAAUAGUUAUAUUGUCUUUCAGGAAUUCACAUAGAUUUACUUCACUUCGGCAACUCUCCAACAAUUUUGCCCAGUUUAAUAAUUUGCGAGGCCCACUUCGUUCAAGGAAGACAGUGACUAGAAAGGAUGCUGCGGUUAUUAAUGAAUGGAGGUUUCUAAAGUUGAAAGAACACAAGGAGGGAAACGUUGAAGUGGAAAAUGUAGCUUUUGAUCGGUACAUGCAGAAUGUUAGUUUGCUCGAAGAGGUGCUUACUGUGGAUUCUACACCUGAAGGGUCCACCAAUAAUGGGCCCCCUAGGAGUGAAAAUGUUACAAAGAGAGUGCAAGACAUUGUCAAUCAGGGACUAAGGAAGCUUCAGAAAAUUGAGUUAGGUAAUGGUGACAAUGAUUCCAGUAAGCAAGUUGAACUUGUCGGAAUGCAAAAAAAGGGAAAAUCUUGGCGGGCUGAGAGGGUUUCGGCUUUAAGUGAUCUUCAUGAUAAGUUGAAUAAAGCUCAGAAUGAGGAAGAUCUGAAAUCUUGCUUGGAGAUGAAACCCGAACUCUUUAAUCAUCAUCAAAGGAC